rnacentral:rRNA from 1 species
AUUGAACGCUGGCGGCAGGCUUAACACAUGCAAGUCGAGCGGAGAUGAGGUGCUUGCACCUUAUCUUAGCGGCGGACGGGUGAGUAAUGCUUAGGAAUCUGCCUAUUAGUGGGGGACAACAUUCCGAAAGGAAUGCUAAUACCGCAUACGUCCUACGGGAGAAAGCAGGGGAUCUUCGGACCUUGCGCUAAUAGAUGAGCCUAAGUCGGAUUAGCUAGUUGGUGGGGUAAGGGCCUACCAAGGCGACGAUCUGUAGCGGGUCUGAGAGGAUGAUCCGCCACACUGGGACUGAGACACGGCCCAGACUCCUACGGGAGGCAGCAGUGGGGAAUAUUGGACAAUGGGGGAAACCCUGAUCCAGCCAUGCCGCGUGUGUGAAGAAGGCCUUAUGGUUGUAAAGCACUUUAAGCGAGGAGGAGGCUACUGAGACUAAUACUCUUGGAUAGUGGACGUUACUCGCAGAAUAAGCACCGGCUAACUCUGUGCCAGCCGCCGCAGUAACAC